rnacentral:lncRNA from 1 species
AGGUGAAUGAGGUGGGGGAGGGAGUCAGAUGUGUGUCCGUCUAAGAACAGCCUUCCUGAAGGCAGGCAUGUGCAAAGGUCCUGAGGUGGCCAUCCCUGGCUCUUCCACCGGCACGGAGUCUUCCCUCCUCAGCAGUGAGGCCCGUUUCUCUCUGCCACUCUGCUCUGUGUUCACGCGGUGGUUCUGUUCUCUCAUACCUUGGUGUUUAUUUUGCCCCCUCAGGAGACACUGUCUGGGUCAUUUUUUCUUGGGAAACUUCCCAUUGUCCAUCCAAGGGGAUCUUGAUAACCGUUGACUUACCAGCCAGUUGGGAGGUUUUUGCUGCCCUGUGGACAGAUUCCUGCCCCAGGGCAGAACGUGGAAAGCACCCUCUCUUCUCUUUGCAGACGCCGGCUGGGCCCCCACGUCUGCCUCUCGGGGUUCGGGAGUGGCUGCUGCCCUGGCUGGGCGCCCUCCAUGGCCAGCGGGCACUGUACCCUGCGUAAGUGCCCGACCCUCUGCCCUAAGUCUCCUCCAGCGGCAGUGUGUGUGGCCAGUGCCCAGUCCCUGGGCUGGCCCAAGGGGCAGAUGGGGGGCCCCAGCCCCCACACCCUCAUGUGCGUUUCUCCUCUCAGCCCUCUGCUCCUUUGGCUGUGGGAGCGGCAUCUGCGUUGCUCCCAACGUCUGCUCGUGCCAGGAUGGAGAGCAAGGUGCCACCUGCCCAGAUGAGCAAACUGAGGCACAGAAGUUAAGUGACUUGCCCGGGGCGUGUUUGCCUCCAGAGCCAUCCCUCCAACAGAAUUUAGGUGUGCUACCUGUUUUGGCAGCCCACGGUUCCUGUGGGGAGUACGGCUGUGACCUUACCUGCAACCAUGGCGGCUGUCAGAGGUGGCCCGAGUGUGCCCCGUGGGCUUCUCGAUGACAGAGACAGCUGUUGGCAUCAGGUGUACAGGUGAGAGGCCCGGUGGGGGUGGGCGCCAAGAGCAGUUGUUCUGUCUCCUCCUCC